CGGGGCGUAGCGCAGUCUGGUAGCGCAUCUGGUUUGGGACCAGAGGGCCGGGGGUUCAAAUCCUCUCGCCCCGA
rnacentral:tRNA from 1 species